AUGGCCACCCCGCAGCUCUCCCAAGUGCGCCAGAACUACCACCCCGACUGCGAGGCCGCCAUCAACAGCCAGAUCAACCUGGAGCUCUACGCCUCCUACGUGUACCUGUCCAUGGCCUUCUACUUCGACCGCGACGACGUGGCCUUGAAGAACUUCGCCCGCUUCUUCCUGCGCCAGUCCCGCGAGGAGACCCAGCAUGCCGAGAAGCUCAUGGAGCUGCAGAACCAGCGCGGGGGCCACAUCCGCCUCCGCGACAUCAAGAAGCCGGACCGCGACGACUGGGAGGGCGGCCUGAAGGCCAUGGAGUGCGCCCUGCACCUGGAGAAGAGCGUGAACCAAAGCCUGCUCGACCUGCACCAGCUGGCCACCGACAAGAACGACGCCCAGCUCUGCGACUUCCUGGAGAGCCACUACCUGCACGAGCAAGUCAAGGCCAUCAAAGAGCUGGGGGGCUAUGUCACCAGCCUGCGCAAGAUGGGGGCCCCCGAAGCCGGCCUGGCAGAGUACCUGUUUGACAAGCUCACCCUGGGCGACAGCGACAAAAAGAACUGA